AAAAUAUCAACAAUAUAUCUAAUAUUUUCCAAACCACACAGCCCAUCCAUCGGGCACUCAAUCAAUCAAAUUUUCCAUCCUCCAUCAAUCUCAACAUCACCACACAAUUAAAAUUAUACAUUACAAUAGCAUUAUAUCUAAACUACCUUAAUUAAAUUAACACUAAAAUUAUAAAGCUAUUAACUACUCACAUUUACCAAAUUAAAUUAAUUACAUUAAUUCACUACAAAAUAAUAAGUUUAAUUUAAUUAACUAACAUCACUAACAUUAACUUAACUAAACUUAACUAAACCCAUUAAUUAC
rnacentral:lncRNA from 1 species